GCGAGUUAAAUACUCUUGUUGAAGCCUUGGAAGGAAAACUAGUUGCAGUCUACAAAUGUGCUAGAGAGAUUUUUAAAAUAUCACUGUACUGCACCAUCUCUGAAGAUAGUUCGCAAGCAACGAGGGGCAUUGGUGGUCUAGAUUCUCACAUAAAAGAAUCACGAGAGAGAGAGCCCAAGUCCCAACAACAUACGGCAACAUCCAGGAGUACUGUUUCAAGCAUCAGGGAAGAACUAAAGACGCGCCUGCUCCAAUCAAGAUCCUUGAAUGUACAAAAGCCGAAGCAGAACACAACAGCAUCUGCAUUUGUUACAAGUGCUGCUGCGAAUGAUUCAUUUUUAACAUCGACAUCUGGAAGUACAAGUGUCUCAAGUUCCUCAGAGUCAGGGACAUUCAGUAAUUGCAAAUAGCU
rnacentral:misc_RNA from 1 species